UUUUGCAUAUUUGGAUUUAUUUGGACUAGUUACUCUUAGGUAAAUCACUAGGCCAUAAGGUGUUGUGUAGCAACAGAAGAUAGCAUAUAGAAUCUCUGAAGUCCCUUUUAGCACUAAGAGUCUAAUUAAUUGAAAUUUCCAGCAGUAAGGCUGGUACAUGGAGAUUUUGGAGGCAAAUAGUAUUUUUAGCUGCUUUAAAAUUAAUCUCUGGUAUAAGACCCUGGCAGUUUCUAAUGUAAAUCACAACUCAGAUAUAUGUAAUUAACUCAUUGUCAGUAUCCCUUUUAAUAUUAUUGCUGAUUAAGCAAAUGUAAAUGUCUUUUUUAAAAAAAAUCCAGGAUGGAUGCAACCUUGAAAGAACUGACAAGCUUAGUAAAAGAAGUCUACCCAGAAGCUAGAAAGAAGGGCACUCACUUCAAUUUUGCAAUCGUUUUUACAGAUGUUAAAAGACCUGGCUAUCGAGUUAAGGAGAUUGGCAGCACCAUGUCUGGCAGAAAGGGGACUGAUGAUUCCAUGACCCUGCAGUCGCAGAAGUUCCAGAUAGGAGAUUACUUGGACAUAGCAAUUACCCCUCCAAAUCGGGCACCACCUCCUUCAGGGCGCAUGAGACCAUAUUAAAUUCUAUUUACUAUUUCUUGAAUUUAUUUUUCCGUCAGUUAUGUAAAAU
rnacentral:sRNA from 1 species